rnacentral:rRNA from 1 species
GGCACGCCUAACACAUGCAAGUCGAACGAAGUAGCAAUACUUAGUGGCAGACGGGUGAGUAACAUGUAGGUAUCUGCCCUUUGGCCUGGAAUAACACGAGGAAACUUGUGCUAAUACCGGAUAAGUCUUUACAGAGAAAGCUUUAUGCACCAUUGGAUGAGCCUGCACUUGAUUAGUUUGUUGGUGGGGUAAUGGCCUACCAAGACUGUGAUCAAUAGCUGAUUUGAGAGGAUGAUCAGCCACAUUGGGACUGAGACACGGCCCAAACUCCUACGGGAGGCAGCAGUGGGGAAUCUUGCACAAUGGAGGAAACUCUGAUGCAGCGAUGCCGCGUGAGUGAAGAAGGCCUUUGGGUUGUAAAGCUCUUUCGUCGGGGAAGAAAAUGACUGUACCCGAAUAAGAAGGUCCGGCUAACUUCGUGCCAGCAGCCGCGGUAAUACGAAGGGACCUAGCGUAGUUCGGAAUUACUGGGCUUAAAGAGUUCGUAGGUGGUUGAAAAAGUUGGUGGUGAAAUCCCAGAGCUUAACUCUGGAACUGCCAUCAAAACUUUUCAGCUAGAGUAUGAUAGAGGAAAGCAGAAUUUCUAGUGUAGAGGUGAAAUUCGUAGAUAUUAGAAAGAAUACCAAUUGCGAAGGCAGCUUUCUGGAUCAUUACUGACACUGAGGAACGAAAGCAUGGGUAGCGAAGAGGAUUAGAUACCCUCGUAGUCCAUGCCGUAAACGAUGUGUGUUAGACGUUGGAAAUUUAUUUUCAGUGUCGCAGCAAAAGCGAUAAACACACCGCCUGGGGAGUACG